rnacentral:tRNA from 1 species
GGGGAUGUCGCAUAGCGGCAAUUGCAACAGACUGUAAAUCUGUCCUCUUCGGAGUUCGGUGGUUCGAGUCCACCCAUCCCCA